GGAGGCUCUUCUAAGGCUGCUGCCAGUGGUCAAAGCCUCCAACAAAGCUCUACUAAAUGGCUGUAACCUGUCAGUGGGAAGCUGUGAAGCUCUUUCCUCAGUUCUGAGCUCCCAGUCCUCCUGUUUGAGAGAACUGGACCUAAGUAACAGCAACUUGGAUGAUUCAGGAGUGAAGUUUCUCUCUGCUGGAGUGAAGAGUCCACAUUGUAAGCUGAAUACUCUCAGUCUGUCAGGCUGUCUGAUCACAGAGGAAGGCUGUACUUCUCUG